rnacentral:rRNA from 1 species
AGUGAACGCUGGCGGUAGGCCUAACACAUGCAAGUCGGACGGCAGCACAGUAAGAGCUUGCUCUUACGGGUGGCGAGUGGCGGACGGGUGAGGAAUACAUCGGAAUCUACUUUUUCGUGGGGAUAACGUAGGGAAACUUACGCUAAUACCGCAUACGACCUACGGGUGAAAGCAGGGGAUCUUCGGACCUUGCGCGAUUGAAUGAGCCGAUGUCGGAUUAGCUAGUUGGCGGGGUAAAGGCCCACCAAGGCGACGAUCCGUAGCUGGUCUGAGAGGAUGAUCAGCCAACUUGGAAAGGAGACACGGUCCAGACCCCUAGGGGAGGCAGCAGGGGGGAAUAUUGGAAAAUGGGGGCAAGCCUGAUCCAGCCAUACCGGGGGGGGGAAGAAGGCCUUCGGGUUGUAAAGCCCUUUUGUUGGGAAAGAAAAGCAGCAGGUUAAUACCCCGCUGUUCUGACGGUACCCAAAGAAUAAGCACCGGCUAACUUCGU